AACUCACGUUAUUGCUGUUUUUAAACUCUUUGAAUAAAACAUGCGUGUACUAUUUUUUUAAGUUAAUUAUUAAAUUAAUUUAUGUAAAUAAUAUAAUAUUUUAGAGAAACGUUUUCAUCAAAAUAUACGUGUUUGGUGCUCUGCAUAAUUAAUAAAGAACUAUGCAAUGUUUAGAACAAAGGUUAUAAGUAAUAAAAAUAAAUAUUUUGUAUUAAAACUUGGGUAAUGAUGGUAUUUCUAAAUAUUGUACGUAAUACUAUUCAACCAAUUCGAUAUGCUAAACAAUUAAAGACAGUUAAUUUGUGUAUAAUAAGGACGUAUGUAAGAUACGGACAUGUUAGUCGAAGGCCGAUUGCAAUUGUUAACAAAGUUGAACUUUUCGAAAGUGAGGAUACUACUCAGCCGCAAAUUCGCCGAGGAAGGAUUUCCGCGAGAAAAUCGAGUAAAAAGAAACCCAUCCAGGAAAAGAAAAGUGAAAAAAUUGUAUCAUCCUUGAUGAGUAAUUUAAAGUCACGAAAGGGAAGGGAAAAAAUGAUGAGAUAGUUCUAGAAGGAAAGAUUCAUGAAUUCAUAUUGGAAGAAACCAUAUAUUAAAGAAAAUGCGACGUUUGUAUUACUUCAAAAAUAUGGAUCAGAUAGUCGACAAAUUCUGCAAACAAUGCAAAAUCUGCAUUAAGAAUAAAAGCAGAACAAGAAGACCGAUUGAAUUUAUGUCAAAACCAGGACCAGCUAAGAAACCGUUCGAAAUAAUGUCAUUCGAUACGGUCGGAGGUUAUUCUAAUAACAUCUCAUCGAAGAAAUUCAUGCACAUUCUCAUGGACCAUUUUUCAAGGGCCGUUUUUAUGUCCACAUCAAAGACACAACGCUCAGAUGACAUAACAAAACUUAUAGAUUCGACAGGAGAAACCGACCGCAGUUUAGGACGUGGAAAAUCGACUCUCGAUUUUCAGAUUUAGAAUCGAUCCCUGGAUUAUCCAAAUUUGAACAUUAUAUAUAUAACCUGCUAACAAAUCUCCCGAGUGAAAGCGUUUUAAUGCUUAUGGAUAGCGAGGUCAGGCAAGAAAUAAAAACUAUACUGCACAUACUACCAUCUACUGCCACCGAAUUUUUUUAAGCUCCAAAGAAUUGUGGUGGAUUGGGGCUACCCAGAUUUGAGCACAUAGUGAAACUCGGUACCCUUAGGAAAAAUCAAAACCUGACUAGAUCCAGCAGCGGCCAGGGUAAUUGGAGAUGCCGAAGAGAAAAAAUUAAGGAGAAUUGCCAACUCCCUGACAAUAAAUUGACCAGCCAGCUUGGAGGAUAUGGAGAAAGCUAAGAGGAGGCUAAAAGGAGAUCGCAUUAAGGAAUGGGCAGGAUUGAAAAGUCAGGGCCAGGGUGUCGCUGACUUUGCGAAGGAAAAAUUGGGCGACGCGUGGCUUAGGGAGUACCAUUGGCUAGAGCCAUCCCGCUUCAUCGAUGCCUUGCGUUUGAGAACAAACAUCUUUGGCACCAAAACCACCUUAGCAAGGGCGUAGAGAAAUAUAGAUGUAACAUGCAGAAGGUGCCAUGUCCAACCAGAAACCCUGGGACAUGUGAUGGGGUUAUGCCAAUUUACAAAGGGCGUACGCAUCAAAAGGCACGAUGAAGUCAAGAACUUUCUGGCCAAUAAGUUAAGAGAACAGAAUGAGGUGUUUGUUGAACCAACAGUAAUAACGAGGGGUAAUCGUUACGAGCCGAACUUCGCAGUUAAAAACGAGGAUUAGUCGACGUUACCGUCCACUACGAAUAUAGAAAUUACCUCCUCAAAGUGAGUCAAGAAAAAAUUGGCAAAUACCUCCCAUGUCUAGAACACCUUAAGACAAUAUAUGGUUUGAAAGAAGGUUCGAUACUACCACUAGAGCUUGGUAACAGAGAGGUUGUUACCACUAAAACGAAAGAAAACUACAAGAAAUGGGAUUAAACACUAACGAAAUCAAAACAAUAGUGAUGAAUGUACUUAGGAGUUCCAUAGAGGUCCGGAAGAACUGAUCUUUCGCCAAUCGCCAUUCGCAGAAUGCAAGGGGUGCCUCUCACUCCCGACAAAACUCCAGUGUGUGCUGGGGCAUGUCCUGGCACUGGUGACAGGUGUUCAUCACCUUUCUUCCGAUCUUCUACAAAUACUCCCCGAAUACUCCAUGUCCUGCGAGCAUCUGCAUCAUCCGAACGGAUAGCGGAAGCCGUCCGCGAUCCCUCCAAGCCUCUCAAUUUGGGAGGACCGAUCUAACGGCCCGGUGGCCACAGAUCUGAUCUUCGCAGAGCAGGUCGGAGCGUCACCUCUCCAACACCUCUUGUCUAGCUUCUCACCGAUUGUCUCAGUCCGCUUGCAGGGGGGAUCCCCGCCUGAGCCCAGACCUCUCCACUUUUCGUCCGGCAAAACGGAAGCAGGCGAGGGUGGUCCUCAUUUCCAAAUCGGGUAGGGACCCGGCAUUGACAUAAUCAUUGCAGCCGAUCAGCGUGCUCCCAGCAUUGAGUAAAGUGUGGAGGAGUUCCGAAGAUGGCGGCAGACAGGAAGGACGCGUUCACGUCACUCUAUACUCUGCAACCGAAAUUAUAGAGAAAACAAAGAAAGGCGACAAAAUAAGUGGAUCAGAGUGUGUUCGCAAAAGUUUGUAAGAAAACUGGUAUUGAGCGGACUGGAUGCGACAGGAAGGCAAGGAAAAUUCAGCUCUGUCGGCGAAAUAAUAAGGAGGACAUAUUCGGACGUGCGCUGGGAAUCUCGCAGGAAAGUGCGAGUUCGGAGUCGAAUAAGUGCUAGCCUAUGGGAUCUUGUCCUUGGCAAGGUCAACCCAGGGGAAGAAAAAUAAAGCUAAUAUCCACUGCCGCAGAUGUACCUCUGGUGCUGGCCUUGGAAAUGACAACAUCUUACACAGCUGACAUAGGGUCUGAACUAAUUCGGCGGAUAGAGGAGUUAAUGAAGGUGGCGACGACAUCGUCGAAUUACCUAUCCCACGUCGUCAUAGUAUCAUUCCAUUUCGAUUUACCUAAAGUCCUUACCCAAGUCGUCGUUGAUAUUCAAAGUUUAUAUGUUUUGCUGUUUCGAUAUGACUUCAAAAGCCCACUGCUACAUGAAGUUAACUGAACAACCGAUUACUCCCCAAAACCUUAUACUCGCUCCGUCCUCUAUAUCCAUUUUAUUCCAUUUUUUAUUUAUCUUACGUAACUCGAUGAUAUCCUAGUAUUCAAUUCUAUGAGUCAAUACGCUUUUACGUGUGUUGUUAAUUUUCAUUCCUUAUACAUUCUACCUUCCCUGUGUACACGAUCCAUCCGUCAUUAAGGCCGUGGGCCAGGAUUGGACGAACAAAAUAGUAGGACACCUCGAAGAAAUCCAGGGCCUCCUCCUGCAGAAGAUUUCGGAGUCCCCAGGGCCCGUCGGUGACUCGAGUGGCUUUCCAGGCUCGACACCGACGGUUAUCAAGUGACUGAAAGAACGGCGAGGAGGAGGUUGAUCCCAAGGCACCACCCCGUGCGACUUGGGAAAACAAGUUGAAUGUAAAGGGACGGUGGAUUUAUUCGGGCGAGAACGAUGAGUGCGACUGGGCUAAGAAAGGAUAGGAAGAGGGAGAAGCCUAGGGCUACCUCAGAAAUUAAGAGACGUUACGAUUACGGUGAUACCGAAGACGAAGGGAAGGAUUUCACGCAAGCCUUGUUGGGGGCAAUGCAGAUGUUGAAUGCAUUGGUAAAAAAGUUGAACCUCGACAAGGAAAAGAAUGAGGGAAUUAGGGAAUUAGGUAAUGUAAUUACCUAUGAAUGCGCAUAAGAACAGGGUGCACGUAGUGUAGCAAGAAAUUAAAAAGAGCGAUCAAGCACAGUAAGGAUGAGAAGUGGAGGGAGUUCUGCGCAACAUUGGAACAUGAUCCCUGGGGGGAGGCCGGACCAAGUGAUAAGAGCGAAAAUGGCUCGAAACAUGCUACCGGAGGGUCUUGACAAGGAAGGGUUGCGAAGAUUCUUGAUCACUUUUCGGGCGGAACGGUCGGAGGUAGACCAUAAUUCUGGCAUCCUGCGGGCGCAAGGUGUUGAGAUACAAGACCUGCGCGUAACGGAGGAGGACCUGCGGACGGAAAUUGCGGAAUGCGACAGCUGGAAAUGGCUCUCUUGUUGACCUCAUCCAGCAGAAACAUCAGAAGGAGCCCGAGUUCCAGAGCCCACUAUGACAACGCUAGCCCGCAUGCAUUCGUCCUGCGCCCCCCCCCCCAUUCAGUGGAGUGAGCACUGAAAUCUCCCAAGAGGAGCACCCGGUGGGGAAGGAAUCGCCUGACGCAAUUGUCAACCCCGUCUAGGAAUUGCUCGAAUGCAGCCCUCCCGCUGUUGGGCAAGAUGCAGAUACCCAUCACCACCAUCCCUGCCCACUCGAGCUAUUCAAAUGUGAAGAAACGUAUUAUGCAAUUACGAAAAGAUUUGAAGGAACUCAAGAACAAAAAAUUAGAAUACAUUAUGGUUGAAAAGAAGAAACCAAAACCAUUAGGACUAUACGAGCCGUGAAUUGAAGCAGUGUAUGUAAAAAUCGAAUUUGCAAUUUCAAAUCACGCCAUUUUAUAAAUUGAAAAAUGUUAUUAAGUUUCGUACAUACAGAUAGGACGAUGAGAAACAUAAGGCUGUGUCCAGGGAGAAAGCUGAGAGAGAAAAAUUGUUGUAUAAGAAUAAAGAAGAAAUAAAAAGUGCCAUGCGUGAAACACGAAGAGACAGAGCUUUUUUAACGAAACUACAAAUAAAACAACAGAAUAAGAGCGAUGAAGAACGUAAGCGCAAUGUGGGCAUACAACGAUAUUACACACAUAGAAACACAUAAUCUUAUACAGACACCUAUGCAGGCAUUUGAACGAGCACUUACACAGGUCAUACUCACUACUGUAUAGAGAGUGGGGUUCAAAAUCUUUAAGAGACCAUGGGUCACUACCUACAGUCAGUCUGAGAGUAACUGGCCAACUGUCAACAAUCCAUAAAUCCUUUACCUGCACACUUUGUUAAUUAUGUCAUAUCAUUCACUUAUAUUUUAAAUACAUUUGGUUCUGUAAUUCUGUUUAAUAAAUAUCACCUAACAUUAUUUCAACAUAAACAUUGUAUCUUCCGUAGAUUACUAAUCUUAACGUUAAGAUUAAAUUCUAACACGCAAGGUGAAAGAAAUCUUUGGCGAAGCCUCAGUGCAACAGAGUGGAUUAGAGAAAUUAAAACGGAAGAAGUAGUAGUAAUAGAAUUAGCCGCGCAUUCCGGAGUCCGUGUAUAUUACCUUUCUUAGACAAUAUUGGUAUUUUGAAUGAUUAUGUGCGAUUGUAUCAACAAUAACCUCGGAUAUAACGGAUCGUGAUCAUUAUAUUAGAGUUGAGGUGGUAUGUGUUGUCCGUGAUGAUUGUAGACGUCGCUGCUGGGGUACUGCUGAUUUUCCUUCUAAUUUAAUUGCGUAGAAGAAAAGUCGGACUCCGGUCGCCGGGAUUCGAACUCGGGUUUCGAACGUUCGUAACUUAAGGCGCUAACCACUGCGCUGCCGUUGUCCGGUAUUAGUAAGUGUCGAAUGGCGGUAUUUGUUGUCGCGUGCCGCCACAGCGUUUUUUAAGAUUCUUAUAAUUCCAUUAACUGUAAUAAAUGUAAAUAAGCAUUUUCAUAAUAAAUAAAUAUUUUAAACCA
rnacentral:lncRNA from 1 species